rnacentral:pre_miRNA from 1 species
CAAGUACUCCCUCCGUCCGGAAUUACUUUUCAUCAAAAUGGAUGUGUCUAGAACUAAAAUACAUCUAGAUACAUCCGUUUCAAUGACAAGUAUUUUCAGACGGAGGGAGUACAAG